GACAGAGGGUGCUAACGUUGCUCGGAAUUACUGGGCGUAAAGCGCGUGUAGGCGGACCGGCAAGUCGGUUGUGAAAUCCCCAGGCUCAACCUGGGAACUGCGUCCGAAACUGCUGGUCUUGAGUGGUGGAGAGGGAUGGCGGAAUUCCGGGUGUAGAGGUGAAAUUCGUAGAUAUCCGGAGGAACACCGGUGGCGAAGGCGGCCUCCUGGACACCUACUGACGCUGAGACGCGAAAGCGUGGGGAGCAAACAGG
rnacentral:rRNA from 1 species